GAGGCUUUAGCUCAGUGGUAGAGUGCUUGCUUAGCAUGCUCAAGGUCCUGGGUUCAAUCCCCAGUACCUCCA
rnacentral:tRNA from 1 species